rnacentral:rRNA from 1 species
CGCAUCUGUGCAUGCAGCAUAUUAAUAAGCGGAGGAAAAGAAACUAACAAGGAUUCCCUUAGUAACGGCGAGUGAAGCGGGAAGAGCUCAAAUUUGAAAUCUUCAAGGUCUUACCUUGACGAAUUGUAGUUUAAAGAAGUGUUUUCCUGUUGAAGUUUUGGUAAAAGUUCUUUGGAAUAGGACAUCAUAGAGGGUGAGAAUCCCGUAUUUGACCAUUAUUUUCAGCUGUGUGAUACACUUUCAAAGAGUCGGAUUGUUUGGGAAUGCAGUCCAAAAUGGGUGGUAAAUUUCAUCUAAAGCUAAAUAUUGGCGAGAGACCGAUAGCGAACAAGUACCGUGAGGGAAAGAUGAAAAGAACUUUGAAAAGAGAGUUAAACAGUACGUGAAAUUGUCAAAAGGGAAGCGUUUGACACCAGUGUUGUUUUCUCGAAAAUCAAUUAAAAAGAGUUUGAUUUUGUUGUGUAUUGACCUUAACAGCUUGCAUUUCAAUUUUCUUGCUUUUUUUAAUGCACUUUUCGUUUAACAAGUCAACAUCAGUUUCUUUUGUUGUAAAAAGGUCAUUGGAAGGUGGCUUUCUUUUCGGAGAAAGUGUUUAUAGCCUUUGACUCCUGCAAUCGGAGAGACUGAGGUCUGCAGCGUAGAUCCUUCGGGGUUAGAUACAUUUGUGCUAAGUUAUGGCUUUUUAUAGACAACUUGUUGACUAUGAUUAGUCUUGUAGCUUACUCGCUUAUGCUAUUUUACCUACGCUUAGGAUGUUGACACACGCGCGUGCUCG